rnacentral:rRNA from 1 species
ACGGCCCAGACUCCUACGGGAGGCAGCAGUGGGGAAUAUUGGACAAUGGGCGCAAGCCUGAUCCAGCCAUACCGCGUGUGUGAAGAAGGCCCUAGGGUUGUAAAGCACUUUAAGUUGGGAAGAAAAGUUAUUGGUUAAUACCCAAUGACCGUGACAUUACCUUCAGAAUAAGGACCGGCUAAUUCCGUGCCAGCAGCCGCGGUAAUACGGAAGGUCCAAGCGUUAAUCGGAAUUACUGGGCGUAAAGCGCGCGUAGGUGGUUUAUUAAGUUGGAUGUGAAAUCCCCGGGCUCAACCUGGGAUCUGCAUCCAAAACUGAUUCACUAGAGUACGAUAGAGGGAGGUAGAAUUCACAGUGUAGCGGUGGAAUGCGUAGAUAUUGUGAAGAAUACCAAUGGCGAAGGCAGCCUCCUGGAUCUGUACUGACACUGAGGUGCGAAAGCGUGGGUAGCGAACAGGAUUAGAUACCCUGGUAGUCCACGCCGUAAACGAUGUCAACUAGCUGUUGGAAAACUAUGUUUUUCAGUGGCGCAGCUAACGUAGUAAGUUGACCGCCUGGGGAGUACGGCCGCAAGGCUAAAACUCAAAUGAAUUGACGGGGACCCGCACAAGCGGUGGAGCAUGUGGUUUAAUUCGAUGCAACGCGAAAAACCUUACCUAUACUUGACAUACUUGGAAUGCUUUGUAAUGAAGCAGUGCCUUCGGGAGCCAAGAUACAGGUGCUGCAUGGCUGUCGUCAGCUCGUGUCGUGAGAUGUUCCGUUAAGUCGGAUAACGAGCGCAACCCUUACCCUUAUUUGCCAGCGAUUCGGUCGGGAACUAUAAGGGGACUGCCGGUGAUAAACCGGAGGAAGGUGAGGACGACGUCAAGUCAUCAUGGCCCUUACGUAUAGGGCUACACACGUGCUACAAUGGGGAAUACAGACGGACGCUAAGCCGCGAGGUGGUGCUAAUCCUAGAAAAUUCUUCGUAGUCCGGAUUGGAGUCUGCAACUCGACUCCAUGAAGUCGGAAUCGCUAGUAAUCGCGAAUCAGCAUGUCGCGGUGAAUACGUUCUCGGGUCUUGUACACACCGCCCGUCAUACCAUGGAAGUGGAUUGCACCAGAAGUAGAUAGUCUAACCUUCGGGAGGGCGUUUACCACGGUGUGCUUCAUGACUGGGGUAAAGUCGUAACAAGGUAACC